rnacentral:rRNA from 1 species
GAUGAACGCUAGCGGCAGGCUUAACACAUGCAAGUCGAGGGGUAUAGUUCUUCGGAGCUAGAGACCGGCGCACGGGUGCGUAACGCGUAUGCAAUCUACCUUUUGCAGAGGGAUAGCCCAGAGAAAUUUGGAUUAAUACCUCAUAGUAUGUGAGAAUGGCAUCAUUUUCACAUUAAAGUCACAACGGCAAAAGAUGAGCAUGCGUCCCAUUAGCUUGUUGGUAAGGUAACGGCUUACCAAGGCAACGAUGGGUAGGGGUCCUGAGAGGGAGUUCCCCCACACAGGUACUGAGACACGGACCAGACUCCUACGGGAGGCAGCAGUGAGGAAUAUUGGACAAUGGGCGCAAGCCUUAUCCAGUCAGGCCGCGUGCAGGAUGACGGUCCUAUGGAUUGUAAACUGCUUUUGUACAGGAAGAAACACUGGUUCGUGAACCAGCUUGACGGUACUGUAAGAAUAAGGAUCGGCUAACUCCGUGCCAGCCGCCGCCGUAAGAC